GAGGGGUGAGGAAGAAGAGGUAGAAACUGCUUAAGGAGGCCACGGAAUCUGCAGACGUCGUCUCACCAUCAACCAGUUUUCUCAUACGGUCGACAUAUGAUAUUAUUUAAAAUUAACGAAAUAAAAUGAUUAUUCAGAAUGUAAAAAGCUAAAUCAAUUUAUUUUCAUGGCAUUAUCAAACCAAUGACUUGACUCUAGUGAUUGUAAUCUGAUCGGGGUCGAUUUCAUGGUAAGGUAAGUAACGCGUACAAAAUGCACACGUAUCAUAAAGCUAACACAUUCGUGAAGUAUA